GGUCUCCACACUCAUGGACCUGGAGGAGUUAUAACACAGUUACAUAGAGGAGUUAUAACACAGUUACACAGAGGAGUUACAACACAGUUACAUAGAGGACUUACUACACAGUUACAUAGUUACACAGGGGAGUUAUAACACAGUUACAUAGAGGAGUUAUAACACAGUUACAUAGAGGAGUUACAACACAGUUACAUAGAGGAGUUAUAACACAGUUACAUAGAGGAGUUAUAACACAGUUACAUAGAGUUAUAACACAGUUACACAGUUACAUAGAGGAGUUACAACACAGUUACACAGAGGAGUUAUAACAUAGUUACAUAGGAGUUAUAACACAGGUAC
rnacentral:lncRNA from 1 species